rnacentral:lncRNA from 1 species
GUAGGGAAGUGUAGUGCUUAGUGCUGGAACAAGCCUUGUGCCUGCUCCCUGUGCCAUCCCAGGGGUGAUGGACCCCAUCCUGCUCCCACUUAUUGCCCAAAGAAAGCAUUGUUGUCCCCCUGGCACUGUGAUGCAAAGUUCACGUUCUCUUCUGGUUGGAUUCCUGAGAGUCUGUGGGACAUUGUGCAGCGACCUUUUUUUUUUAGGAACGGCUGCACUGAAUUCAGCCCUGUGCAAGUGCUGAGAUUUUAGAAGAGCCGGGUGCAUCCUGACAGAAAGACACAAGCUGAGCUAAUAAGAACUGCAGCAGAUUUUGCAUGCACGUUGCAAACUGUGUCCCGAAAGGAGCAGGAUGGGGUGGAAGAGGCAGCGGCCACUGGCAGAGGAACGCAGGGCUGAGUCACGGCCGCAUCGUGCCAGCACUGCCUGCCCGCUGCCUGCAGUGCCUGGGAGAGUUCUCCGUGUUUCUCUCUCUUCCCUUUCUGCACAGGAAUCGUUACUCACUCUGCACACAAUGCCAGAGGGAAGUCAAUGGUAACGGCCUUCUCUAUGAAAGGAACACUAAGUUUACCUGUGAAGGAGGUAUUCCCACCUACGCCAAAUGCAUGACUGGAGAGAAUUUCAAGGCGUGGGCAUAGAUGCAUGUAACAGAGACUUGAUUUAAAUAAAAAUUGAGUCCAAAUUACUCAUCUGCUUUAAGGACUUUAGUUGUACACAUGUGAACGUCACUGCCCAGCAUGGUUCAUCACAGCUUCCCCUGCUUUUAACACCAUACAGGUCACACUGAAACCCAGUGAUAUCACUGUUCCAAAAUCCCCUUUAUCCUCAUGGUGAAUAUGAACACAGUGUUUUAAACACCUUUGUUAAUCCCUGCUGGAGAAUAACAAAUCAUUCGUUUGAUUAAACUUUAUCUCUCAGACUUGGACAGACAUGGCUGCAACAUGAAAUGCCCCAAGUGAUAAGAGAGCUGAGCGGAGCAGGUCACACUAACUCUGUGUUGAAACACAGAUUUAGAUGUUAUACUGAUCUUCAGGUGAAGGCUGAGUUAUUGGAAGUGAUGCAGGCCCUACUUCUCUGAUUGGCACAAGGACUGAUAAACAUUUCAGGUAGCCCAGGAAGAGUUGAUGAGCCCAGCUGGAAGUUUUGGCUGAUCCCUAGGAAAGGCUCAGCAGCACCAACACGAGCUCUGGAAAACAAUCCCCUUCUCCCAAGACAAUAUCUGGGAUAUGGAAAUAAAUAAAUGGAACCCUGCCUUAUAUUUCCUUAGAAAACAGGGUUAGAGAGCUCAAGGAUCCUCUGUGGGGACCUGAGCUUCCCCCAGCACUGCAGUGCUGGAGCUGGAUGAGCCCCACCAUCUUUAAUCAGAUCACUGGAAAUAUACAGAUGCUGAUCCGAACCCAAAUGGAAAUCUUACAUUAGGACAGAAUAUGGUGUAGGUGUUUUGGAAGCGUGGAUGUGUUCAGUGAAACACUCUCCCUCUGCGGAUGCUAACCUCGCUCGGACUUGUUUGUUCUGCAGCACCUUCCUUGCUCUGUAUGGUUACAAUUUAGCUUGCAUUUUUUUUAACCUAAAAAAAAAAAAAAGAAAAGGGGUAAAGUGAGAAAACAGAGGGUGGGGGGGAGAGUGAAAAAAAAAAAAAAAGAGAUUUUUAAAUCAACUGUCAUUUCUGGCAAGGCUGAGGAUCCCGGCAAGGUAUUUGUUUAUUAUCAGGUAUUUCCUCAGGAUCAAAUCCAGAGGAGAGAAGUCUGGUACUAGUUAAAGUCUGUUUAAAAUCCUUCUUGAAAAGAGAUUUAUGCGAGGAAAUUACCUAACCUCAGGACAGAGGCUUAGUCAGAGGCAGCGUGGUUCAGCCGCUCGCAGUGCGCGGCUUUUUUUAGCCCCACUGAAGGCACCCAGUGAGAACAGCGGCAGAUUUUCGCUCACAUAACGGGAUCAAAGCUCCCAAUUGUUUCGAAGGAAAUGACCCAGCGGGAGGAGCGUGGUGGGCACUGCUGUUUGCUCCCAGCCUCC